rnacentral:rRNA from 1 species
UUCCGGUUGAUCCUGCCGGAGGCUACCGCUAUUGGAGUUCGAUUAAGCCAUGCGAGUCGCGAGAAAUUAGAUUCUCGGCGUACCGCUCAGUAACACGUGGGUAACCUGCCCUAUGCUGGAUAAUAACCUCGGGAAACUGAGAAUAAUGAUCCAUAGUUCACUACGCCUGGAACGGUGAGUGGAUGAAAGCUCCGGCGGCAUAGGAUGGGCCUGCGGCGUAUCAGGUUGUAGGGGGUGUAACGUACCCUCUAGCCCUCUACGCGUACGGGUGUUGGGAGACAUAGCCCGGAGAUGGAUUCUGAGACACGAAUCCAGACCCUACGGGGUGCAGCAGGCGCGAAAACUUGGCAAUGCGAGAAAUCGUGACCAGGGAACUCCAAGUGCAUGGGGUAAGACCCAUGCUUUUCUUGACUCUAAAUAGGUCUUGGAAUAAGGGGUGGGUAAGGACGGUGCCAGCCGCCGCGGUAAUACCGGCGCCUCAAGUGGUAGUCGCUUUUAUUGGGCCUAAAACGUCCGUAGCCGGUCUGAUACAUUCGUGGGUAAAUCAACCAGCUUAACUGGUUGAAUUCUGCGAGGACGGUCAGACUUGGGACCGGGAGAGGUGUGGGGUACGCUCAGGGUAGGGGUAAAAUCCUGUCAUCCUGAGCGGACCACCUGUUGCGAAGGCGCCACACUAGAACGGAUCCGACGGUCAGGGACGAAGCCUAGGGGCACGAACCGGAUUAGAUACCCGGGUAGUCCUAGGUGUAAACGCUGUGGACUUGAUGUUGGGGGUGCUCCGAGCACUCUCAGUGUCGAAGCGAAGGUGAUAAGUCCACUGCCUGGGAAGUACGGUCGCAAGGCUGAAACUUAAAGGAAUUGGCGGGGGAGCACCGCAACCUGAGGAUUGUGCGGUUUAAUUGGAUUCAACGCCGGA